rnacentral:tRNA from 1 species
GGGCCUGUAGCUCAACGGUAGAGCGGCCAGCUAGCCAGCUGGACGGUUGCGGGUUCGAAUCCCGCCAGGUCCA